CAUCUAUGGAACAGGUGCUAUGCUACACCCUGGAGCAAAAAGACAAAUAUGUCAAAGUUCUUCUUCUCAAUGAGUUCAUAGUCUAAUGGGAGAGACAAUCAACUACUACUGCCUCUUCCAGGAAGACCUCUCUGACUAAAUCUGUCCACUGCAAUCUCUUGCAGCUCUGAACUGAUUUUGUCCUUGGAGAUGAGAAUGCUUCCUGAGAUAAUGUGGGAGUUGCCCUGGAGGACUUCAGCUAACACUCUCCA